AUCAGACACGGUGCCAGCCGCCGCGGUAAUACGUAGGGUGCGAGCGUUGUCCGGAAUUAUUGGGCGUAAAGGGCUCGUAGGCGGUUUGUCGCGUCGGGAGUGAAAACCCAGGGCUUAACUCUGGGCUGGCUUUCGAUACGGGCAGACUAGAGGUAUGCAGGGGAGAACGGAAUUCCUGGUGUAGCGGUGAAAUGCGCAGAUAUCAGGAGGAACACCGGUGGCGAAGGCGGUUCUCUGGGCAUUACCUGACGCUGAGGAGCGAAAGUGUGGGGAGCGAACAGGAUUAGAUACCCUGGUAGUCCACACCGUAAACGUUGGGCGCUAGGUGUGGGAUCCAUUCCACGGGUUCCGUGCCGCAGCUAACGCAUUAAGCGCCCCGCCUGGGGAGUACGGCCGCAAGGCUAAAACUCAAAGGAAUUGACGGG
rnacentral:rRNA from 1 species